rnacentral:rRNA from 1 species
AUUGAACGCUGGCGGCAGGCCUAACACAUGCAAGUCGAACGGUAACAGGAAGCAGCUUGCUGCUUCGCUGACGAGUGGCGGACGGGUGAGUAAUGUCUGGGAAGCUGCCUGAUGGAGGGGGAUAACUACUGGAAACGGUAGCUAAUACCGCAUAAUGUCGCAAGACAAAAGAGGGGGACCUUCGGGCCUCUUGCCAUCGGAUGUGCCCAGAUGGGAUUAGCUUGUUGGUGGGGUAACGGCUCACCAAGGCGACGAUCCCUAGCUGGUCUGAGAGGAUGACCAGCCACACUGGAACUGCGGCACGGUCCAGACUCCUACGGGAGGCAGCAGUGGGGAAUAUUGCCCAAUGGGCGCAAGCCUGAUGCAGCCAUGCCGCGUGUAUGAAGAAGGCCUUCGGGUUGUAAAGUACUUUCAGCGGGGAGGAAGGGAGUAAAGUUAAUACCUUUGCUCAUUGACGUUACCCGCAGAAGAAGCACCGGCUAACUCCGUG